rnacentral:tRNA from 1 species
GGGACAGUAGCUCAGGGGUUAGAGCUAUCGGCUCAUAACCGAUUGGUCGCAGGUUCAAUUCCUGCCUGUCCCACCA